ACGAACGCUGGCGGCGUGGAUAAGACAUGCAAGUCGAACGAGAGAAUUGCUAGCUUGCUAAUAAUUCUCUAGUGGCGCACGGGUGAGUAACACGUGAGUAACCUGCCCCCGAGAGCGGGAUAGCCCUGGGAAACUGGGAUUAAUACCGCAUAGUAUCGAAAGAUUAAAGCAGCAAUGCGCUUGGGGAUGGGCUCGCGGCCUAUUAGUUAGUUGGUGAGGUAACGGCUCACCAAGGCGAUGACGGGUAGCCGGUCUGAGAGGAUGUCCGGCCACACUGGAACUGAGACACGGUCCAGACACCUACGGGUGGCAGCAGUCGAGAAUCAUUCACAAUGGGGGAAACCCUGAUGGUGCGACGCCGCGUGGGGGAAUGAAGGUCUUCGGAUUGUAAACCCCUGUCAUGUGGGAGCAAAUUAAAAAGAUAGUACCACAAGAGGAAGAGACGGCUAACUCUGUGCCAGCAGCCGCGGUAAUACAGAGGUCUCAAGCGUUGUUCGGAAUCACUGGGCGUAAAGCGUGCGUAGGCUGUUUCGUAAGUCGUGUGUGAAAGGCGCGGGCUCAACCCGCGGACGGCACAUGAUACUGCGAGACUAGAGUAAUGGAGGGGGAACCGGAAUUCUCGGUGUAGCAGUGAAAUGCGUAGAUAUCGAGAGGAACACUCGUGGCGAAGGCGGGUUCCUGGACAUUAACUGACGCUGAGGCACGAAGGCCAGGGGAGCGAAAGGGAUUAGAUACCCCUGUAGUCCUGGCAGUAAACGGUGCACGCUUGGUGUGCGGGGAUUCGUCCCCCUGCGUGCCGGAGCUAACGCGUUAAGCGUGCCGCCUGGGGAGUACGGUCGCAAGAUUAAAACUCAAAGAAAUUGACGGGGACCCGCACAAGCGGUGGAGUAUGUGGCUUAAUUCGAUGCAACGCGAAGAACCUUACCUGGGCUUGACAUGUAAUGAACAACAUGUGAAAGCAUGCGACUCUUCGGAGGCGUUACACAGGUGCUGCAUGGCCGUCGUCAGCUCGUGUCGUGAGAUGUUUGGUUAAGUCCAGCAACGAGCGCAACCCCUGUUGCCAGUUACCAGCACGUGAAGGUGGGGACUCUGGCGAGACUGCCCAGAUCAACUGGGAGGAAGGUGGGGACGACGUCAGGUCAGUAUGGCCCUUAUGCCCAGGGCUGCACACGUACUACAAUGCCCAGUACAGAGGGGGCCGAAGCCGCGAGGCGGAGGAAAUCCUGAAAACUGGGCCCAGUUCGGACUGUAGGCUGCAACCCGCCUACACGAAGCCGGAAUCGCUAGUAAUGGCGCAUCAGCUACGGCGCCGUGAAUACGUUCCCGGGUCUUGUACACACCGCCCGUCACAUCAUGGAAGCCGGUCGCACCCGAAGUAUCUGAAGCCAACCGCAAGGAGGCAGGGUCCUAAGGUGAGACUGGUAACUGGGAUG
rnacentral:rRNA from 1 species